rnacentral:lncRNA from 1 species
CUCACCCGUGUCCGCUCUUCUCCUGGUUCAAGCGUCUGGACAAUACACCCCCUACCCGGGCACAGAGCCACCGCAGGCGGAGAGCCAAGAACUGAGCAGGGACUGGUGAACGCCUUCCCUCUGGGCGGAGCAGGUAGGCUCCCAACAGGAAGCACUGUUGGUUACACUGUUUGCUUCUCCUCAAGGUGGCCAGAGUUUGGGAGGCUGCAAGCAAAAUGUCGCAGCAAUCUGACGGACCAGGUGGUGAAAAGGGACCGCGCGCAGCUCAGGAAACCGAGUCAGCAGAUGAGGCUGAACUUUGGAGUGGAGUCUGUAGGAGGCUGAGACUCCAGCUGCGGACGCCAAAGCCAGCUCAGAGGGGGCCCCAGCCACGGCCAGGCCAGAGAACGCACCCGGCAUUGUGGAUUCCAAAGAGCUUUGGAGGGUCCCUAGGACUGCUCAACAAUGCCCGUGGGUCUGUCCUCCCCAGUGGCGGGUGACACUAGUGCCAUUGUCUGCAGAGCUGAGCUAAUAACAUCAUCGCGAAUCACUCAGGGCCAGUUAAUCAGAAGGAAGAGGCGGUAACGGCAUCUUUAUGAUACACAGUUAUGUGAUAAGAUGCAGACGUAAUGAGAACUCUUUUUCUUCUGGAAAAGAUUAAAGACAUAAAAUCCUG